rnacentral:lncRNA from 1 species
UUAAGGAUGACGAACAUAUGUCAAUGCUGAAGUUUGGGUAGGAGUAGUUGAUUGUGAUAUAUGAGAUUUUGAAUAAAAGAAAUUCAAAUUUGAAUUUUGAAAUUUGAUAUAUAGAGUCUGGCUGGGAUUAAUCGAUAGCACCAUGUAUUUGGUGCUAUCAAGUUUUCCGCCGUUAGAUUUAACCCUUUGACUAUUUUCACCCAUUAGAUUAUACUAUUAAACCAACAACUCACUCAACCCUAUGGGGCCCACAUCAUCCUAACAAUACAUUUUUUAAUCCAAAUGUCGAAACCUAAUAGCACCAAAUGCUUGGUGCUAUUGAUAGUAUUCCAGCCUAGGUCUUGAUAUAUAUAUAUAUAGAGUCCGGCUAUGGUGCUUGUAAAAGCACCAAGCUCUUGCUGCUUGUGAAUUUUUUUACCGUUAGAUCUACACUUUUGAUCAUUUUCAUCCGUUUGAUUAUACUAUUCAACCAACCACCCACUCAACCCUAGGGGGCCCACAUCAUCGUAACCACACAUCUCUUAAUCCAAUGCUAAAAAUUUACAAGUACCAAUAACUUGGUACUUUUAAAAGCAUAGGAGCUCAAUUCUCUCUCUCUCUCUCUCUCUCUCUCUCUCUCUCUCUCUCUCUAUAUAUAUAUAUAUGUGUGUGUGUGUGUGUGUGUGUGUGUGUGUGUGUGCGUGUGUGUAUAAGGAUAUAUAUGUUGGUGGAUCGAGAGAGGAUGGGUUUUGUCGCAAAUCAACAACCAAAUAUGGCAAAACAAAAUAGUGAUGUCGAUGCCACGGACGUGCUGAACGUGCUGGCGCAGUCCGUUUGCAAAUCUGACGGACGGAUCUCCUGAUAUUCUGCGAGGAUCGAGGAGGGGUCAUAAGUGGCAAAACGAAAAAUUUGCGAAAAGCCUAUAUUUUAUGUACUGUUUUGCGUGAAAUCGAACGUGCAGGUAUGUACAUGCAUUUUACUUGCUCUGUGAGGGACUUGGCUGAAAAUACUGAUAUUUGAUGGGCUUAUUUGCAAGUUUACCACCUUGUAUAUAUUAGCUAACUAGGGUUUUCAUGGAGGAAACCUAACCCUAGCUUCAGCUGACCCCCAGCCGCCCUUCCUUCCUCACCCGCUUGCACAGCGCGCUCCCCAGCCACUGGCGACCGAGCUCCGGCCGGCCAACCGCCACCCGUACCAUCUUCAGUUUCACCUUCCUCUUCAUCUCCUCCACCACCAACUCCCUCUCCAUCUCGAGCCGAGGGUUGUGCAGGGUAUUCCUCACCCUCAGGCCCUUCUCCGGCGAUGCCCCUUGUCACGCCCCGGGGUCCCUUUGAGUCUAAAAGAUAGCGGAAAAGCGUCUGAAUUUUUUUUUUUUUUUUGAAAACCUAACCCCAGAGUAUGCCAGAUCCGCCNCGCUCGUGCGCGUCCCACAGUGGCCGGAAUUGCUCCGAAAGGUGAGCACGGCUUCCGGCACGCCGAGACCUGUCAGCGGGUGUCUCAGCUUCGCUGAUUCACUUCUGGUUUGUGCAGACGGACCAUAACAGCGCCGAAAUCGCAUGAAAUAAUGCGAUUUCGGGUAUUCGGAAGGGCUUUUAUGCAAUUCCGGUUGUUGCGGUUGCUGUUGGCAGCAUGGGUAGGCUGUGGGUGAUCUCUGGACUGAUUGUCCAAGGCCCCGGACCUUUGCGAAGAUCGGAAAUGUAUUUUCGGUGCGUUUGUCGGCAAAACCCGUCGACGGAACGCGGUUUUGGUUCAGAAUUAUUCCGACGGUGCUUCGUGAGCUUUUGUGUAGUCGCUGAGCCUUGUUGGCUGGUCACUCGCGUCAUUUCGAGAGUUCAGAAAUGACGGGUGAGCGACGGUGGGUUCCGGUGUCGAAAUAGACACUUCCGGGAACCCCGAUCCCAAUAAUUUUCCACCAGUAGUUGUUUGGUUGUGUAUCCUUGUGUUUGCUGCCAUGUCACAAAAAAAGUCUCAGUCCUCACACCCCUGGAGCUCCGGUGCCCUUUCCGUUGAUUGCCACCGUCCCCGCGCGCCGCUCUUUUUGCCCCUGGCAACCUGCGGCCACCUAGGGCAAGUUAGGGUCGAGGAAACCCCAGCUCCUUUCCCUCGCGCUGCCGCCGCUCGGGGCCACCUUGGCCGCCCUCUUUUGACCUCCGGUGACCCAUCGUCGCCGCCCCGUAGCUCCCCGGCCGCCGCCGAGGCCGCUGUGAACAUUUGAACCCGAGCCGAGCUCGUGCGGGCUCAGGUUGCUCCGCCGCCGCCGCCGACCAGUGCGAGCAGUGACCUUCCCCCACCUGUCGCACCCACCUAUCGCCGGCGCGCCCACCGCCGAGCUACCCUAGCCCCCCAUGCCCGGUAAGCCAAUUAAAGGCUAUUUGUGCAUGUUUUCAGGUUAGGAUCACUAUUCCGGCGAUCCGAGGCCACCCCGAUGCCUCCGAAAGUGAGCACAAUGAUCCUUAAUCAGUGCUGAUCAUCAUGCUUAUCUCCUUUGGGGUCAGCGAGCCCCUGAUUUACGAAAUAAGCGCAGUUUAAGUUCAGUGCGCCUAGUUCGCUGAACUUCGGGUCGCUCCCGCGCUCUAUACAGUGAGCUGCUGUGCUCCGGACUGUGAGCACAGCCUCCGACACGUUGAGACCUGUCAGCACGUGUCUCGGCUGACCUCGAAACUCAUCGGUUUUUGGGAUCGAACCAUAAAACCCUGUAAAUCACAUAAAAUAGUAUGAUUUUAUGUAUUUAUAUGGGCUUUUAUGCAAUUGUACACUUCUUGGCUACUGUGGGCUGUAUGUGUGGGUGGCCGGUGAUCUCUGGAUUGAAUGUCCAAAGUCCGAAGCCUUUGCGGAAAUAGAAUAUCGCUUUUCGAUGCGUUUAUUGGCGAAAUUCGCCGACGGAACGCGGUUUCGAUUAGGAUUCCUUCCGACGAUGUUCGAGUAUACUAUACUUUGUCGCUGAGCUUGGUUGUCUGGUCACGUACGUUGUUUUGGGAGUUCGAAGAUGACGGGUGAGCGACGAUGGGUUCCGGUGUCGAAAACGACACUUUCGGGAACCCGGAUCGGAAUUGUUAUCCGACGAUAAUCGUUUCGAUGUGAGUCUUCGUGUUUGCUACCAGGACACCUUUAUCAUCGUGUUUUGUGUGACAGCGGGUGACUCAUGGCAGGAGUCGGUGAGUCCCGGGACACUUCGUGGGUCCCGACAGAGUCCCGGUGCGAUUUUCAGGACUUCCAGUGAAGGAUUUCCGGCGAAUUAGGGUAAUCGGUUUUGAAAAACCGAAUCCCGUGGGAUUAUUUAUGGGUUUAAUGUUCCUUAUAAGUGGGUUAGAUACUAACUCAGUGGACCCUCCGUAGGUCCGGUUGACGAUCUUCCACAGUCGGGAGACAGGCGCGAUAUUCAUACAGGUGGGUACUUUGAUCUAAAGUCGAUACAAUGGUAGAUGCUAGGUGACGUUCUCUCCACCCUCUCUUUAUUACCUUGCACAUCAUGUUAUGAGCCUAGCACCCGUUGACUUCUUACUUAUUGCUCUACUUGGUUACUUUCCAUAUUUAUCAUUAUGAUCUAGAAGUAGAGUGGAUUAUCUGUAGUGACCUAUUCGGUAGGUUCUAUGACUCUUGUACUUUAUGACCUAUACGGUCGGCAUACCCUGAGGGAUAGGAUUGUCGGAUAGUUGCCGACGGUUGGCUAUUGAGCAUAUCAGCAUCGAUUGCCAGUGCUUGUACGCAUUUCACGAAAACCAGCGGCUGAUCCACCGCGAAGGGGUGCUGUUCCAAAAAAGUUGUUGUGAGUGCCAAUCCGUGAGCCCAGGAGCUUAUGCUAGGGUUAUAUGCAGGUUAGAGCAAUGGUGGCACAGGCAUGAGGUCUUCGGACCAACAUGGCGGUUAUUGGAUUAGAUAUUUUGGGACUAAUCACUCGGUUGAUGCAUUCAUAUACAGUAGUGGUAGUUGCAUUCUAUAUCCUGUUUUUCUAUUAACAUUUCUACUGUAUUAUUGUCCAUAGAUAUCUUUGGUUACCAGUGAGUACGCUAGCCUUCGUCGACUUGCGGUAUCCACUAGGAGACUAUAUCCGUGUGAACAGUGAAUUUUUUAUAUUUGUGGCGGAUCUGUCAUAUCUUGGGUCAAGAUUUUCAAAAAAAAAAAUUUAUUAGGCAUUUUUUUCUUUGAUUUUACAUACUAAAAAGGGACCCCAGGGCGUGACAUUGAUCACGCCACCUUCAUGAUUUGUUUGCAAAACCUCUUAUUGUGGCCUUUGUUUCCGCAACAAUGACACACUUUCUCAUUCAACUUCCGUAGAUUUCAAAGUUAUAGGAUAUGAAGUUGUAGUUGUGAUUUUGGGUGCAAUCCUUGUUCUCUGUCAUGCCCACCCACACUUUCGCACGUCACAAAUGCCUUAAGUCAUUUUAGGGUUAGGAGGAACUUUAAGCUAGGCUAUAAAACUAACUACAACAAAAACGAUCUAUAGCGACACUUUUAAAUGUUGAAACAGGUCAAAAAAUAGUGUUGCUGGCUAAAUUAGCAACACUUUUAAAAAGUGUUGCUAUAUGUGGGGUCGCUAGAUAUAUAGUGACAGUUAAAGAGUGUCGCUAUAACGUAAAAAGAGUGCUGCUAAUUUAGCAACACUUAUUUAAGCAUCUAGCAACCGCCGGAACUCUACCUUGUUGGCUGCGGUGGCGAAGGAGGAUGAGAGGGAAGGGCCCUUCGUCUAGGAUUUCAGUGGAUUGAGUGAGGGGAGAAUGGGGAGAUGGUAAUCGAUUUUUUUUUUUUUUCUAUUUUGUUUGUAAUCGGGCCAAAUGGGCUAGGUUGGGUGGGUUGAGUAGAGUAACCUUUUAUUUUUUGUUGGAUUCGGCUUUAUAUUUAGGCAUUAGUAGAUGUUUUUUAAAAUUUUGGUAUAAAUGGGACACUUAGACAAAAGUGUCCCAAACAUGUGUCCCUAUAACCUAAUUCUGUUGUAGUAUAACUUAGGCUUCAUUUGGGAUUGUGGGGAGAUUGCGUUACGUGCGGUAAGAAAGUACGUUGAAAAAAUAUACUGUUUAUUUUUAUACGUAAUAUUGUGUUUCGUAUGUUGCGUUGAGUCAGUUACGAUAUAUUUUCUGCGGUCCCACCGGAGAACGUAGAAGCAUAUCCCUUUAUGUUUUUUCCUUAACUCUAUUUUAUCUAAUAACGUUAGAUAGACCUCAUUACCAAACUAAGCCUUACCCUGUCAUAUCCCGAAUUUUAGUUUUGAAAAGAAAAUUAUUUUUUUUAAUAAAUAUUAGAGUAACAACGGGUCACGCAACAUAAACUAUCUUAAACAUGUACAGACGCACCACAUGCAUAAAAUUUUUCUGUCCGUGCGCUAAUAUUAAAAUUUCUUCUAUACUUGCACGGUGUAAGGUAUAAAACAUCACUAAUAUUAAAACUUUCAUUGUAUUAGUCAUCAUUAUCCACAUAUACAGACAUAAAUAAGGUAAUCAUACAAUCAUUAUCCGCACUAAUGAUUAUAGAGCGGGAUGAUGACACAACUCUCCAAACUCUGCCGACACAAGUCCCUCCAGAUCUCUACAAUACAUGGAGUAUAGCCCCCGUGUUUCCACAACAUAAAAUCAAAACUCCUCCAUAUCUCCGUUUUAUAUAUUCAUUUUUUAAUCGCGAUAAAAAGCCAAUUAACAAUUAAGCAAAAGAAAGACAUGCAUGGAAUCAACUUGAAUCACAUAACUGCAAACCAUCAUCACAGUACACUAUUCAUCAAUAUAAUUUAAAAGAUGAAGAGCAUUUAACUAAAUCCAUCAUCACACAUAUUAUUCAAAGAGAAUAUUAUGCGACUAAUUAAAAGUAAGAUGUUUAGUUACAGUUUACCUAACACUAAAAAGUUCCAGCAGAAAGGACGAAGCUAGCUAUCACGAUGCUCACCCUGCAUCUCCUUUCUCUACACCCGAGUACCUAUAAAAAUUAUAAAAAUUAGGAUGUAAGAUACAACUGAACGUACCUAUCCUGUGCAACGCGCCGGCAACAUAUAGAAAGAAAUUACGCAAACUAUGGUCUGUUUUGAUUUACCUAUCCUUUCUUUAAAAUUUAGAUUUUGUUGUCCAACCUUCAGCUUAUUUAAUAUAAGUCAUUUGAUGAUUCUUCUGGUAUAAAAUUUUAGCUUAUUACUUAUUUUAAUAAAUUUAUAGUCAGAUUAAUUAUAUUUAAUGUAUUAGCCAAGUCUAUAAAAAUAAAUACUGAAUUCGAAGUUUGAAUUGAAUAGAAAAGUAGUCAGAUGUCUCAUAUCAAAUGACUUAAAAUAUUAUAUUAAUUAGCAAAAUUAAACUAUUUAUAGAUUAGAUAGUUAGAUAAAAAUGAUUGAUAGUUAGGUAAAUUCUGUAUAUUUUUACCUAAAAUGAUAUUAUAGUUGAGAGGCUAUUUCAAACGCCGUACAGUUGAUGGGUCUCCAAGCAUUUUUACCUGAAAGUAAUUAAUUUAUAGGGUAGGCACCGCAAUAGAAAUUAGAAAGAAAAAAUAUAACCGAGAAUAACUUUUUAGCAAAUUGCGGAGCAGGCCCACAGAAACGCAUUCCCUUCCAUCCCUGUGAAAGGCCCCUUCCCCUUGUCCCCAACCAACUCUGUGGGCCACACCUGAAAUCUCCACCUCACGACCCCUCGACCAAUCGGAUUCCACCCCAGCGGAUACCAUUUUCCUUCCAACCAAUUAGCUUCGAGAUAGCCACUCCCGCGGGCCCCACUCCCGCUCUCCCACGGAGCCACGUCAACAAAAGCGUAUGGUGGGCCCCCCAGCCCACAGCCUCCCCCUAUUAUUGCCUCCCGUACUUAAAUUUGUUGCCCAAUAUAAACAGCAUAUCAACACCGCCCCUCCACUGUUUACUUUCCUUUCCGCUGGUAAUUAAUUACUGGCUUAAAAAUUGCGAUUUUGAGAUAAUUAUGAAUACCAAGGAAAAGCAGCGCGCUGCGUCGGCCGCCGUCGGCGCGAGGACUGCCCGGGCGUGCGACGGCUGCCUGCGGCGGCGGGCGCGGUGGUUCUGCGCUGCCGACGAUGCCUUUCUGUGCCAGGCGUGUGACGCGUCCGUCCACUCGGCGAAUCCCCUCGCCAGCCGCCACCACCGCCUCCGCCUCAAGACGGCCACCUCCUCCUCCUCCUUGGCUGCUGAUGCCGCUACGCCGCCUCCAGCUCGCACCGCCCUUGAUGCCGGUGAGCCGCCAACAUGGCUCCACGGAUUCAAGCGGAAGGCGCGAACGCCGCGCGGUAAGCCGAUGUCGGCCAUAAAAGAGGAGACGACAGUUGUGCCGGACCUCGAGGCUGAGGAGAAGGCCGAGGAGGCGGAGGAGCAGCUGCUGUACCAGGUCCCGAUUUUUGACCCCCUGCUGGCAGAAUUCUGCUCCCCGUCGCCGCUGCUGCCGACUCCUCUCGAGGAUGCAAAGCCGGCGGCACAGCCGAUCGACCCGUUCGAAUCAGCAUCGGCAGCCGCGGCGGCUUCCUCGGACGGGCUCCCAGGGUUCCGUGAAGUUUCGGAUUUAGAUGUCGCAGAAUUCGCAGCGGACAUGGAGAGCCUCCUCGGCGGCGGCCUUGAGGAAGACUCGUUCUCGCUGCACGAGCUAGGGCUGAUGGACUCGGAGGUGAAGGAGGAGGAGGCCGAUGUGGACGCGGCGGCGGCGGCCGGGGAGACUGAGAUUUGCAGGGAGCCGAUGGAUGUUAAGUUCGACUGCAGCGCGGAGGAGGAGGCAGCAAAGGCGACGGCGGUGGUGUCGUCUGUGUCUGAGGGAGAGGUGACGGUGGUCGCAAAGAAGAAGAUGAUACUCACGUUGGAUUACGAAGCCGUUAUGGCGGAGUGGUCUUGCAAGGGUUGCUCGCCGUGGACUGGCGGUGAGCGGCCGCAGCUCGGCACCGAUGACUGCUGGCCCGAAUUCGCGGUAAUCUCGAAACCCACAAAAAUCAACGAGGACACAAUUAUUACAUACUUAUUGUCUUUCUAUAAAUAUGCUUGUUGUUUUUGGUGAUUGUAGGGGAUGUGGGGAGGAGACGGAAAAGGGGCGGCGCAGCACCGAGAUCCAGCAGCUGCAGCAGCGGCAGCGGCAGUCGGUGGAGGGAGGGAGGCGAGGGUGACGAGGUACCGAGAGAAGCGUCGGACGCGGCUGUUCGCGAAGAAGAUACGGUACGAGGUGCGCAAGCUGAACGCAGAGAAGCGGCCACGGAUGAAGGGUCGCUUCGUCAAGCGUGCGGCUUUUCCUGCCAUAGCGGCAGCAGUCACCGCUGCAGUGCCGGCGAUCCCGCGGGGGCCACCAUUUCCUUUUUGACGGGGCUCGAUCGAACGGACUCGAUCACGCGUGCAUGUAAAUGCAUGCGUGCUUCUUGUCAUAGUAAAUAACCCUCUUUUUCCUUUCUUUUUUUUUUUUGUUUUGUGAAUUAGAAGGAUAAUUAUAGGACUAGCAUAGGUAAACCAAAUAAUUUUUUUCCUUUUCUUUUUUAAUAUUUCUGCUCAUCACUCGCCGACAUGCAUGUAAUAGAUCAAGACAUUGCUUGAUUACUAGCAAGCUACUUUUUUUUUUCCUUUGUUUUUUUUUUUUUUUCGGUGCUGGGGGAAUAUAGUCCAGCUAGUUCUAAUGAAGCGCUAGGGUUUUUGUGCAAUAAGCUGAACAUUGAUGCUGAAUUUAGCUUUUACAUUUGUAUUCUUCUUUGGAUACUAGCUAUUAUUAUCGAUUUAAGCUAACUAGUUCUUGUAUCUUUGUAGCGUAUCACUGAUCUUCUCCAUGAAAUUAAUGUGAACACUGUGCAUGUUACAGCUUCUCACAUGCUAGCUAUAAUCUGGUGAAUGCUGUUUCUACAGGGAAAUUAAGUAGCCAAAUUUGAUUAGCGAAAUAUGAAUUGCUAGAGUGAGAUAUGUCGGAGUCUAUUGUUUAUUUUGUGAUUUAAAAUUUUAAUUUGGGUAUGGGCCUCUUCAGCGAAUGGGCGUUCUAUUGGAAUUGUUAAGCACUCCAGUUCCUAUACAUUGUUAAGUUUAGUUCUAAUAAAUGGAAUACAAAGGACAAGUGAUAGCUCCUUAUGUAUUCAUGCAUUAUCUCUUAGUCACUUGAUUAAGAGAAUGACAUGUACCGCUAUUCACAUGCACAUGCGCACGGCAUGAGCCAAGUCGGGCUGCGCAUGGUCCUGCUUAACGGUUUCGGUUCACCUACAGUACUUUUAUUUUUAUAUUUUCUUCUUCUCUAUAAUGAUCUUUGCUUACCCGGUAAAUAUCUUAUUUAUCAUCCUAGCUAACUAUUCGAGACUCUCUAGAUAAUGAACCGGUAUUACUCAAUUUGAGAUUAGCUUUAAUGGCCAUCUCACCUUUUUCUCUAAGUGUAUAUACAUACGUGUGUAUAUAUAUAUAUAUAUAUAUAUAUAUAUAUGUGUAUAUAUAUAUACAUAUAUAUAUAUAUAUAUAUAUAUAUAUAUGUAUAUAUAUANUGUAUAUAUAUAUACAUAUAUAUAUAUAUGUAUAUAUGUAUAUAUAUAUAUAUAUAUAUGUAUAUAUGUAUAUAUAUAUGUAUAUAUUUAUGUGUAUAUAUAUAUAUGUUUUUUUCUCGAGAGAUUGGUAGCACGCUACCCGCUUCGUUUUUUUCAUUAAGAAAUAAACUUAGCUGGAAAUGUGAAUCAACUAGGAUUCGAACUUGGGUCUCGGAUACCAACCAUAUAUAUAUAUGUAUGUAGAGUCCGACUGGGAUACUAUUGAUAACACGAAAUAUUUGGUGCUAUCAAGUUUUCUGCUGUUAGAUUUACCUCUUUAUCAUUUUCAUCCGUUCGAUUAUACUAUUCAACUAACCACACACUCAACCCUAGGAGCCCCACAUCAUCAUAACAGCACAUCUUUUAAUCCAAGGGCAGAAAUUUAAUAGCACCAAGUUAUUGGUGCUAUUAACAGUAUUCCAGCCUAGUUCUAUGUAUAUGUUUAUGUUUAUGUAUAUGUAUAUGUAUGUAUAUGUAUAUGUAUGUAUAUGUAUGUAUAUGUAUAUGUAUGUAUAUGUAUAUGUAUGUAUAUGUAUAUGUAUAUGUAUAUGUAUAUGUAUAUAUAUGUAUGUAUGUAUAUGUAUGUAUAUAUAUAUAUAUAUAGAAUCCGGCUACGGUGCUUGUAAAAUUACCAACUACUUGGUACUUGUAAGUUUUUUACCGUUAGAUCUACGUCUUUGAUCAUUUUCAACCGUUAGAUUAUACUAUUCAACUAACUACUCAUUCAACCCUAGGGGGCCCACAUCAUUCUCACCGUACAUCCCUUAAUCCAAGGGCCAAAAACUUACAAGUACCAAUGACUUGGUACUUUUAAAAGCAUAGGAGCUCAUA